GACGAACGCUGGCGGCGCGCCUAACACAUGCAAGUCGAACGAGCGAGAGAGAGCUUGCUUUCUCGCGCGAGUGGCGAACGGGUGAGUAACGCGUGAGGAACCUGCCUCAAAGAGGGGGACAACAGUUGGAAACGACUGCUAAUACCGCAUAAGCCCACGACCCGCCUUGGGGUAGAGGGAAAGGGAGCAGUCCGCGUUGAGAUGGCCUCGCGUCCGAUUAGCUUGUUGGUGAGGUAACGGCCCACCAAGGCGACGAGCGGUAGCCGGACUGAGAGGUGGAAAGGCUGCAUUGGGACUGAGACACGGCCCAGACUCCUACGGGAGGGAGCAGUGGGGAACAUUGCACAAUGGGGGAAACCCUGAUGCAGCGACGCCGCGUGGAGGAAGAAGGGCUUCGGAUUGUAAACUCCUGUUGUUGAGGAAGAUAAUGACGGUACUCAACAAGGAAGUGACGGCUAACUACGUG
rnacentral:rRNA from 1 species